CAGUCGCCGCGGGAAAACGUAGGGUGCAAGCGUUAAUCGGAAUUACUGGGCGUAAAGCGUGCGCAGGCGGUGGUUUAAGUCCGUUGUGAAAGCCCUGGGCUCAACCUGGGAAUUGCAGUGGAUACUGGGUCACUAGAGUGUGGUAGAGGAUAGUGGAAUUUCCGGUGUAGCAGUGAAAUGCGUAGAGAUCGGAAGGAACAUCUGUGGCGAAGGCGACUAUCUGGGCCAACACUGACACUGAGGCACGAAAGCGUGGGGAGCAAACAGGAUUAGAUACCCCCGUAGUCCCUGUCUCUUAUAC
rnacentral:rRNA from 1 species